CCGAAUCCGUUUUAAAUACAUUAGGGUAGGAUACAGGAUGAGCUACUAUCCGUCCGUAUCCGCCCGUUUUCACCCCUAAGGAGAACCGAGUUUGGGAGGGAGCGGAUGGCAAUGGCUCUGCUUCCGCUAUUGCUCUCGGUCCUCAUCGUCUCCUGCGUCGCGCAGUCGCCGGCCUCGUCGCCGUCCGCGUCGAAUGCUCCUCCGGUCAGCGCCUCGGCUCCGCGGGGCUCUGUCGCGCCACCGACAACGGCGGUCUCGGCGCCGCAGGGCUCUGUCGCAGCACCGACGACAGCUGCGGCCUCGGCGCCGAAGGCCUCUGUCGCGGCACCGACAACGGCAGCCUCGGCGCCGCAGGCCUCUGCAGCGCCACCGACGACAACGGCGGCCUCGGCGCCAACGGUCUCUGUCGCUGCGCCGCAGGCCUCUGCACAGCCGCCAGCACCAGUUUUCGCGUCGGCGCCCCAGGCGUCGGCCGCGGCACCAACGAAAGCAGCCGCCGCCCCUCAGGUCUCAGCCGCGGCGCCGGCAACAGCAGCCUUGCCGCCAACUACAUCAGCCUCCGCGCCCCAGGCCUCGGCCGCGGCACCAACAAAAGCAGCCUUGCCGCCACAGGCCUUUGCUGCGGCGCCAACUACAUCAGCCGCGGCGCCGCAGGCCUCUGCCACCGCACCUCCUACCGGCGCCGCCGCGCCACCGACCGCAGCUGCUUCUCCGCAGCUGGCUGCCACGUUGCCUCCGGUUUCCUCCCCGCCACUGGCCGCUACGCCACCUGUCUCUGCUACCCCUCCAGCCACGCUACCUCCCGUCGCAUCGCCUACCGUCGCCGUCGCUGCGCCAGCCCCGGCGACUCCGGCUCCAGUCGCCUCCCCGCCCGUAGCAAUGCCACCGGCGGCGCUUGCCCCGGCCACGCUCCCUCCAGUGAUGGCUCCGACACCACUUCUCGCUGCCCCCGUCAUGCCUCCCAUCGCGCCACCUGUCACGGCUCCCGCACCGGCUCCCGUUUCUCCGGCUCCAAGUCCAAGCGUCGCCCCGACCCCGUCUCCGACAGAAGCUCCCACCCCGUCGCCCACAGAGGCCCCGACCCCGUCUCCCACGCAGGCGCCUACACUCGCGCCGUUGAGCUCGGUGUCGGUGAGCCCGUCGCUGGCGCCGGGGCCCGCGCUCGCUCAGGAGGACGAGUCGGCGGCGCCGAGCUCGCGCACUGGCGUCGUCGCGGCCCUGGUGGCCGCCGGGCUCGUCGUCGGCUUGUUUUAAGAAGUAGAGCUGCGGCGUUUAUUACCGCUAUACGUCCGUACCGUUCCUCGCACGGGUCUCUUGUUCUCCUGUUGGUGUUCUCAUGGAUUGAUGCACGCACGAACCAUUCUUGCUGUACAACACAUUGAUAAUUUAUUUUCCAUUUAUUAUGUAUGGAUGACGGACUGCCUGCUGCUUU
rnacentral:misc_RNA from 1 species